GUGUCCUUUUAAGGCUGAUGUGGUGCUUUAAGAGGCUUAUUUUACCACAGAAGGGUAAAAUAAGUCUCCAUAAAACCCAGAGAAGAGAUUUUAAGACUCCUCUUUAGAUCCUCUCUGGUGUUAUUAUA
ensembl:snoRNA